GCAAGUCGAGCGCACUCUUCGGAGUGAGCGGCGGACGGGUUAGUAACGCGUGGGAAUAUACCCUUUUCUACGGAAUAGCCUUGGGAAACUGAGAGUAAUACCGUAUACGCCCCUCGGGGGAAAGAUUUAUCGGUGAAGGAUUGGCCCGCGUAAGAUUAGAUAGUUGGUGGGGUAAUGGCCUACCAAGUCGACGAUCUUUAGCUGGUUUGAGAGGAUGAUC
rnacentral:rRNA from 1 species